rnacentral:rRNA from 1 species
GUAGGUGGCAAGCGUUGUCCGGAAUUAUUGGGCGUAAAGCGCGCGCAGGCGGUUCUUUAAGUCUGAUGUGAAAGCCCACGGCUCAACCGUGGAGGGUCAUUGGAAACUGGAGAACUUGAGUACAGAAGAGGAAAGCGGAAUUCCACGUGUAGCGGUGAAAUGCGUAGAGAUGUGGAGGAACACCAGUGGCGAAGGCGGCUUUCUGGUCUGUAACUAACGCUGAGGCGCGAAAGCGUGGGGAGCAAACAGGGAUUAGAUACCCUGGUAGUCCACGCCGUAAACGAUGAGUGCUAAGUGUUAGGGGGUUUCCGCCCCCUUAGUGCUGCAGCUAACGCAUUAAGCACUCCGCCUGGGGAUACGGCCGCAAGGCUG